GUGGUUGUGAUUGUUAAGCACUUGGUUGCUAACCAAGAGGUUGGUGGUUCAAACCUACCCAGCUGCU
rnacentral:tRNA from 1 species